AAAGGCUAGGCUCACAACCAAAAAUAUAAG
rnacentral:piRNA from 1 species